rnacentral:rRNA from 1 species
GACGAACGCUGGCGGCGUGCUUAACACAUGCAAGUCGAACGGAAAGGCCCUGCUUUUGUGGGGUGCUCGAGUGGCGAACGGGUGAGUAACACGUGAGUAACCUGCCCUUGACUUUGGGAUAACUUCAGGAAACUGGGGCUAAUACCGGAUAGGAGCUCCUGCUGCAUGGUGGGGGUUGGAAAGUUUCGGCGGUUGGGGAUGGACUCGCGGCUUAUCAGCUUGUUGGUGGGGUAGUGGCUUACCAAGGCUUUGACGGGUAGCCGGCCUGAGAGGGUGACCGGCCACAUUGGGACUGGGAUACGGCCCAGGCUCCUACGGGAGGGAGGAGUGGGGAAUAUUGCACCAUGGGCGGAAGCCUGAUGCAGCAACGCCGCGUGCGGGAUGACGGCCUUCGGGUUGUAAACCGCUUUCGCCUGUGACGAAGCGUGAGUGACGGUAAUGGGUAAAGAAGCACCGGCUAACUACGU